UACGGGGGGAGCAAGCGUUGUUCGGAUUUACUGGGCGUAAAGGGCGCGUAGGCGGUCAGCACAAGUCAGUUGUGAAAUCUCCGGGCUUAACUCGGAAAGGUCAGCCGAUACUGCGGGGCUAGAGUGCAGAAGGGGCAACUGGAAUUCUCGGUGUAGCGGUGAAAUGCGUAGAUAUCGAGAGGAACACCUGCGGCGAAGGCGGGUUGCUGGGCCGACACUGACGCUGAUGCGCGAAAGCCAGGGGAGCGAACGGG
rnacentral:rRNA from 1 species